CUCUUUUCGUUUAUUUGAAAAGUAUAACCUGCCCACUGAUUUAAGAAUUAAAGGGCCGCGGUAAUUUGACCGUGCAAAGGUAGCAUAAUCAUUAGUCUCUUAAUUAGAGGCUGGAAUGAAUGGUUGGACGAGAUAUAAUCUGUCUUUUAUUUUAUUUUUGAACUUAAUUAUUAAGUGAGAAAGCUUAAAUAUAAUUAUGGGACGAGAAGACCCUAUAGAGUUUAAACAAUUAAAUUACUUGAUUUGUUUUAGAUUAUUUUUUUGUAGUUUAAUUUUUUUUGUUGGGGUGAUGGGAAGAUAAAUAAAACUCUUUUUAUUGAUUAAUAUUUAUUUAUAGAAUUUUGAUCUAUUAUUAGUGAUUAUAAGACUAAAUUACC
rnacentral:rRNA from 1 species